CAUUUAAGGGUUGGCAGUGACAAGGGUAAUUUGCUGGAGAUCCCUGUAGGCCCAAAGCCUUCUGGAGUACUCACCAGAAUACAGGGAAUGAUCAUCUACCUAGUCCAGCUGACUGCACUAUUUUUUAUACAAGCCAGGACGCCAUUAGCCUUCUUGACUACCUGGGCACACUGCUGGGUCUGUUCAGGCAGGCAUUGACCAACACCCUUAGGUCCAUUCCCAGGAAAAUUGUGAUUAGUUAAACCAUUUGAUUCCAGUAUGUGUAUGGGAACUGUUGAAUCACGGCCUGAACCUCUGAUUGACCACCUGAGGCAAGUGCUGAGUCAGCUGCAGGGGCACAGGUGAACGCAAUUUCACCUGAGUGACCGGAAGGGGUGGAGCCAGGCUCCACUCCUCCUAGACCCCCAUUUAAGGGCUGACUCCCAAGGAGGAAGGAUCUCUAUCUGGAAAUCACUCCUCUUGGAGCCCUUCUGCAAGCUCAGGACACAGGAAUGUGUUCCAAGAGGAUUCAUGCUUUGAUUUUCCUGGAGUCUAAGGUGAAACUGAUAGACUACUAGUUCUGAGUACACUUCAACACCUCUCAUGAAGAAUAAACCAUACUUUUGAUCACAUCAAGACUCUUUUGUUUUCAGUUUCUACUAUGUAUCUUUUGAUCUGGAAUUCCAGAACUAUACUGCGUAUUUGAAGAGCAUUUACACAGUGAAUAGUUAAUUAUAUCUUAUUUCUACUUAGACAUCAAGCCUGCUUAGAUUACCAUCUGAAACCAAAGGCACCAAUAUAUUUCCCAUAUCGUCAUAAAGUAUCUAAAUAUCUGUGGAAGUUUGGUUAUACAUUAUAUAUUAUCAAAAUCAAUUCUAAAAAUAAAAUGAAAUUCUAAAAAUAUUCUAGAAAUAUUUACACACAGUGUCUAGUUAUCAGAAAAAAAUCAAAUGUAUUACAUUGUCUAUUUGAGGAAGUCCAGGCACAAAGGUUUAGAGGUGAUGAUAUACAGUAUAUAAUCUGAAAUUAACUUUCAAUGAAGUGUAAAGUGCCAUAAAAGGGACAUUCAGCAUGCCUUAAAUGUGAAACAUUUCUCUCAGUUUUUAAAGUGGAGUCAACCACUACGUGUAGAGUCAUUCUCAUUUCAAGCAAAAGUGUCCACAGAAAAAAUUAUUAAGAAAUAAUAUGUAUACUGGCAAUAAACACAACUUUAU